rnacentral:misc_RNA from 1 species
GAUGAAGAACGUAGCGAAAUGCGAUAAGUAGUGUGAAUUGCAGAAUUCAGUGAAUCAUCGAAUCUUUGAACGCACAUUGCGGCCAUAGGUAUUCCUUUGGCCAUGCCUGUUCGAGCGUCAUUUACACCCUCAAGCCUAGCUUGGUGUUGGGCGCCUGUCCCGCCGUUUUCGCGCGCGGACUCGCCUCAAAGUCAUUGGCGGCGGUCGUGCCGGCCCCCUCGCGCAGCACAUUUGCGCUUCUCGGAGGCCCGGCGGAUCCGCGCUCCAGCAAGACCUUUCACGACUUGACCUCGGAUCAGGUAGGGAUACCCGCUGAACUUAAGCAUAUCAAUAAGCGGGGA